rnacentral:misc_RNA from 1 species
AUGUUGGCCAAAGGGAGUCUUACAUGGUAAGUUCCACUAUUAAAAAUUAUUUUAAGGGUCAGAUUCCAUUCAGUUCUUACAUUAGGAGCAAUCACUUACGUGUUGUUAAACCAGAAAUUGUGAAGCCCAUGUGCGCUUAUUUAUCAGCUGCUCCGAUAAAGAAAUACAAGGCAUAAAAGUAUAUUGAUGAACACCAUGCUCUAUCGAGCAUCCAGCAAUGACAGAGAAAUUUCAUUGGUCGAAGAAGAUUCAAUAUUGGUAGAGGAUGACUCUGCUUCAAGUGGACCUUUGUCCUUAAAAAAGCCUGGUUCUUUGGGCUGCGCCAUUGCAAUCUCACUACCCAACAUUAGAACCACAGAUGCCAUGCUUGGCCUGUCCUCUGCAUGGUGUUGCACACAUAAGAGGCUAAUAUGGAUGCAUCGCUUCACUUCUGAUAGAUGACAUGCCUCUCUUAAAACUGGAUCAACCAAUUCCAAUAACUUGCCUUCUUUCCACAAUUUCCAAGCAUAUCCGACAAGGUUUAGACUAUGAUUUGGGUGAUAAAAUCCGCGACUUUUCUUUCCACUUAUUAUCUCAAGCAUUAGGAUUCCAAAGCUAAAUACAUCAGAUUUCACUGAGAAUAAUCCAUCAGUUGCAUAUUCUGGUGCCAUAUAACCACUGCAGCAUAAAUAGAAACUCCAUCAAUAACAAAUCACUUAGUUUAUAAAUCAUGAAAUGAAGUUACUUACUAUGUUCCAACCACUUUGUUUGUGCUUCCUUCAGUUUGAUCGCCUCCAAAAGUUCUAGCCAUGCCAAAAUCUGAAAUUUUU